rnacentral:rRNA from 1 species
GGAAUAUUGGUCAAUGGGCGCGAGCCUGAACCAGCCAAGUAGCGUGCAGGACGACGGCCCUACGGGUUGUAAACUGCUUUUAUCAGGGGAUAAAGUGCGGGACGUGUCCCUCAUUGCAGGUACCUGAUGAAUAAGGACCGGCUAAUUCCGUGCCAGCAGCCGCGGUAAUACGUAGGUGGCAAGCGUUAUCCGGAUUUAUUGGGCGUAAAGCGAGCGCAGGCGGUUUUUUAAGUCUGAUGUGAAAGCCUUCGGCUUAACCGAAGAAGUGCAUCGGAAACUGGGAAACUUGAGUGCAGAAGAGGACAGUGGAACUCCAUGUGUAGCGGUGAAAUGCGUAGAUAUAUGGAAGAACACCAGUGGCGAAGGCGGCUGUCUGGUCUGUAACUGACGCUGAGGCUCGAAAGCAUGGGUAGCGAACA